rnacentral:rRNA from 1 species
GGCUGUCGUCAGCUCGUGGCGUGAGAUGUUGGGUUAAGUCCCGUAACGAGCGCAACCCUUGUCCUUAGUUACCAGCACGUUAUGGUGGGCACUCUAAGGAGACUGCCGGUGACAAACCGGAGGAAGGUGGGGAUGACGUCAAGUCAUCAUGGCCCUUACGGCCUGGGCUACACACGUGCUACAAUGGUCGGUACAAAGGGUUGCUACCUAGCGAUAGGAUGCUAAUCUCAAAAAGCCGAUCGUAGUCCGGAUUGGAGUCUGCAACUCGACUCCAUGAAGUUGGAAUCGCUAGUAAUCGUGGAUCAGCAUGCCACGGUGAAUACGUUCCCGGGCCUUGUACACACCGCCCGUCA